rnacentral:rRNA from 1 species
ACGAAUGGUGCAAGCGUUGUUCGGAAUCACUGGGCGUAAAGGGUGCGUAGGUGGUUUGUUAAGUCAGGUGUGAAAUCCCUCGGCCCAACCGGGGAACUGCAUUUGAUACUGGCAAACUCGAGAGUGCGAGAGGAAAGCGGAAUUCCAGGUGUAGCGGUGGAAUGCGUAGAUAUCUGGGAGAAGGCCGGAGGCGAAGGCGGCUUUCUGGCGCACAUCUGACACUGAGGCACGAAAGCGUGGGGAGCAAACAG